UCACCGGAUUCCCCGAAUCUCAGCCUCUCACUCCUUGAGAUAUCAGCUUACCCCCUCCUCGCACCUUCCUCCCUCCUGUUGGGGGCAGGCGGCUGCGAGGCAGUCCUUCCAGACCAUUGUUUUCAACGGUCCCAGGGGUGAUCGUAAUUUUUCCUAAUUAAAGAUGUUAUUUUUCUUAAAAGGCUACCAUCUCUCAUUUCAUGGAAGAAAGAAGAUGAACUAUAGAAGAAGAAAGGACAUAUACACUCUGAAUGAGAGCUGGCGCCCCCAAGAAGGGGCGGAUGGCAACCUUACACCGCAGAGCCGUGUGAUCAAACUUUAAGUCAUAGAUGUUUGUGACAAAUUAUUAUACAGCUUGAAAUGUUAAUGAACUGGGAUAACUGGUCAUAUGUGGUCUCAGAUGUUUGUUUUGCCCUUCCGCUAAUUGUGAUCUAUGACCGGGAUACCAAAUUCACUUCUCAAUUGCUUUAUUGCCAGAUGGGAAGCAAACACCUCUUGUGUUUAGACACCUUAAUGAAAUCUAAGUGUCUUUUAGACUCUGCGGUAUGCAGUGCUGUUUUUCAUAAGAUACUUUCAAUGCCAUUCUAUUCAUAUUUCUAAUACCAAGAAUAUUUUUAAAUCAAAACUUUUUUCUAGUAAUAGACCACAUUUUUAAAAUCAGAAUUUCUUUCCCCCCAAAACCCAAGCUUGUAUGUGUGUGUGUGGUUUUCAUAACAUCUUUAUGAAGAACAUCACCACAUACUUAAACUAUGACUCACACUGAUGAAUUUAAUAAAUCUAACUGGGCUCCAUGAACUGUCAUAUUUUCCGAUCAAACAGUACAGUUCUCUGUCGGCAGGCUGAAUAUUAUCCAGGUUGUGCCCUUCUGUGUAAUUAAUAUCAACAGUCCUUAUUGCCUUGCUGUAUUUUCUGCUCCCCACGAACAGCACAAAAGUGGCUCCAUAAUCUGGGUAGGUGUGAAACCGGAGGCAGCAGGACAUUCGAGGUGACUGCUGGCGGCCGCAGGAACUCACAGCUCCCUGCUGACGGCAGACCUGAGGCUUGUCUGGCAUCCCUUCUCCAACUGAAUCCAUGGGACAGCGGUCACCGCACUGCCCCCAGCCCCGACCAGGACCGCACUGCCCACCGCUGCUAUGAGAGGAGACAUGCCUUGUCGCAUCCAGGGACACGGCUCAGCCCCCCAAAACGGCAGCCAGCCGUCAGGAAUGCGUGUGUCGUGGGUGGUGCUCUCACCGCCCAGCACAGCUAGAGGAGAGCCAAGAAUCUGCUAACGGAAGGACAGUUUCACAUUUUGUUUUUUUUUCUGUUUUCAUGCCUGGUGAUAUUUACUUUGGGAUCAUAGAGGAUGGUAAACGGUUGGAAUUGGGAAAUAAUGACAAAGUGAUUCUGAAACCAGGCAGCAUCUUAGAGUUGACAAAGCUGCUGCCAUGUGAGUUAGGCAACAGGGUGCAUUUAAUUAAAUGUGGUGCUUUGGGAAGGAAAUUACGAUGUCAGGGUUUUUAAGACGUUUCCCACAGAGUAGUUUAUGACUUUUACAAAUGCAAAAAUAUAAAAGAUGCAGAAAAUUCCUAACUGAAAAUAACGUUUCACAUAUAUGCACGACAGAGGAUGAGAUGGCUGGGUGGCAUCACCGACUCAGACAUGAGUUUGGGUAAACUCCGUGAGCUGGUGAUGGAAAGGGAGGCCUGGCGUGCUGCGAUUCAUGGGGUCACAAAGAGUCGGACAGGACUGAGCGACUGAACUGAACUGAACUGAUGUGUAAAAAAAGAGGAAGUAUGUUUGGAAGAAUAGUAAUAAGGCAAACAUGCAGCCUAUAAGGAGAGAGCUGCAAGAUUUCCACUACACGCCCUUUUAAAAUAAUGCACAACACGGGAGAGGAAUCCGACAAACACAUGUACACGUAUAACUGACUUUGCUGCACGGCAAAAAGUAACACAACACUGUAAAUCAACUACACUCCCCAAAUAAAAAUUUUUAAAAAGAAAUACAAACUACUAGAUACAAAAUAAAAAAUGUAUUAAUACAAGGAAGUAAUGUUAUAGCAUAUGGAAUAUAGCCAAUAUUUUAUAAUAGCUUUACAUAGAGCAUAAUCUGUAAAAUACUGAAUCGCUAUGUUGUACACUUGAAACUAACAUAAUACUGUAGAUUAACUAUAUUGAAUUAAAAAAAAUAGUG